UCUGAGCUGUGGGGUUAAAGAGUCAUCUACAGGCUGGAGGUUCUUCUGGUACCGAACUGUUCCCUACACAGCUGGGUUACUGUCCCUAUCGGACACGUCCUACUCUGUAGAGCCUCUAUCUGGCAGUGGGACUAGUGAAGACUCCUACACUCUGAUCCCUGCCGGUCCAAGUCACACAGGAGGAUAUGUGUGUAGAGCUGGGAGAGGAGACCCAGUCUAUGACACACUCUACAGUGAACCUCAGUUUCUCUGGUCAGGAGAUCCGCAACCUUCAGUGUCUCUCAAAAUAAGACCUAACAGAACUCAACACUUUACAUCAAAGUCUCUCUCACUAAGCUGUGAGGAGAAGGGGAACUCUACUGGAUGGAGACUGAAGAGAUACAGAGAGAAAGCAGUGGAGUCAGGCUGUGUCUCUAACUGGGGAUCAAUAGCAGGGUUCACAUGUACCAUCAGGUUCCCAUACACAGGGGACAGUGGAGUGUACUGGUGUGAGUCUGGAUCAGGAGAGUACAGUAAUGCUGUCAACAUCACAGUGGAUGUUGGCACUCUGAUCCUGGAGAGCCCUCCCUAUCCAAUAACUGAGGGAGACUCUGUGACUCUGAGCUGUACA